rnacentral:rRNA from 1 species
GACGAACGCUGGCGGCGUGCCUAAUACAUGCAAGUAGAACGCACAGUUUAUACCGUAGCUUGCUACACCAUAGACUGUGAGUUGCGAACGGGUGAGUAACGCGUAGGUAACCUGCCUGGUAGCGGGGGAUAACUAUUGGAAACGAUAGCUAAUACCGCAUAAUAUUAAUUAUUGCAUGAUAAUUGAUUGAAAGAUGCAACUGCAUCACUACCAGAUGGACCUGCGUUGUAUUAGCUAGUAGGUGAGGUAACGGCUCACCUAGGCGACGAUACAUAGCCGACCUGGGAGGGUGAUCGGCCACACUGGGACUGAGACACGGCCCAGACUCCUACGGGAGGCAGCAGUAGGGAAUCUUCGGCAAUGGACGAAAGUCUGACCGAGCAACGCCGCGUGAGUGAAGAAGGUUUUCGGAUCGUAAAGCUCUGUUGUAAGAGAAGAACGGGUGUGAGAGUGGAAAGUUCACACUGUGACGGUAUCUGACCAGAAAGGGACGGCUAACUACGUG